AUGGCUCCUCCCGCGUGCGCGCGUGCCGCCAGCCUCCGUGUGUCUGCGGCGUUCACGCCCGUACGCGCCCCCGCGUGGGCGAACGGCCAAGCGCGCACGCCGACGGGGCCCCGGACCGGACGGCGACCCCUUCCACCCCGGGAGCGCGCGCACGCAGCGCAUGGGCUGUCUGUCUCGCCUCCAUCCGCUGCCUUUCCCCGCGCCGCUUGGUGGUCGCAUGGCUCCGGCGCGGCUCGCACGCCGCGUCGCUGUCCCGCCCACGCCCACGCCCACGCCCGGGGCAAAAGACGCCGGCGAUCGGGACGGCACCGUGUGGCCUGUCUCUCUGUCGUUCGUUGGUAUCCCUGUUGGCGUGCGUUUUGCCUCGGCUUCGGACCGAUCGAGGCCAUCUCCGUUCUCGUGAUAAUACCAUGGCACAGUAGCACCCGCAUGCCAUUCACGUGCGCGCUCCUCUAG
rnacentral:rRNA from 1 species